GAUGAACGCUAGCUACAGGCUUAACACAUGCAAGUCGAGGGGAAACGACAUCGAAAGCUUGCUUUUGAUGGGCGUCGACCGGCGCACGGGUGAGUAACGCGUAUCCAACCUGCCCAUCACUUGGGAAUAACCUUGCGAAAGUAAGACUAAUGCCCAAUGAUAUCCCACGAAGGCAUCGGAAUGGGAUUAAAGAUUUAUCGGUGAUGGAUGGGGAUGCGUCUGAUUAGCUUGUUGGCGGGGUAACGGCACACCAAGGCAACGAUCAGUAGGGGUUCUGAGAGGAAGGUCCCACACAUUGGAACUGAGACACGGACCAAAAUCCUACGGGAGGCAGCAGUGAGGAAUAUUGGUCAAUGGGCGAGAGCCUGAACCAGCCAAGUAGCGUGCAGGAAGACGGCCCUAUGGGUUGUAAACUGCUUUUAUAAGGGAAUAAAGUGGGUCACGUGUGACUUUUUGCAUGUACCUUAUGAAUAAGGACCGGCUAAUUCCGUG
rnacentral:rRNA from 1 species